rnacentral:misc_RNA from 1 species
ACAAACUUGGUCAUUUAGAGGAAGUAAAAGUCGUAACAAGGUUUCCGUAGGUGAACCUGCGGAAGGAUCAUUACUGAGUGCGGGCCCUCUGGGUCCAACCUCCCACCCGUGUCUAUUGUUACCCCGUUGCUUCGGCGGGCCUGCCCGCCGAAGACCCCCAACGAACGCUAUCUGUAGAGUGCUGUCUGAGCGAAUUAGCGAAAUUAGUUAAAACUUUCAACAACGGAUCUCUUGGUUCCGGCAUCGAUGAAGAACGCAGC